AAGGAGAAGAGAGAGGUGGCGAAGGAUAAAGAAAAGGCAUAUAAUGAGUUGUACGAGAUGUUGGACACUAAGGAGGGAGAAAAGGGCCUCUACCAAUUGGCUAGUCA